GUGUGCAGUUAUACCACCCUGAACACACCCGAUCUCUUCUGAUCUCGGAAGCUAAGCAAGGUUGGGCCUGGUUAGUACUUGGAUGGGAGAAGUGGCUCAAAUGGUAGAAUGCCUACC
rnacentral:rRNA from 1 species